rnacentral:rRNA from 1 species
CCUACGGGAGACAGCAGUAGGGAAUCUUUCACAAUGGGCGAAAGCCUGAUGGAGCAACGCCGCGUGCAGGAUGAAGGCCUUCGGGUUGUAAACUGCUUUUAUAAGCGAGAAAUAUGAUGGUAACUUAUGAAUAAGGAUCGGCUAACUACGUGCCAGCAGCCGCGGUCAUACGUAGGAUCCGAGCAUUAUCCGGAGUGACUGGGUGUAAAGAGUUGCGUAGGUGGCAUAAUAAGUAGCUAGUGAAAUCUGGUGGCUCAACCAUUCAGACUAUUAGCGAAACUGUUAAGCUCGAGACCGUUAGGGGUAACUGGAAUUUCUAGUGUAGGAGUGAAAUCCGUAGAUAUUAGAAGGAACACCAGUAGCGUAGGCAGGUUGCUGGGACGGUUCUGACACUAAGGCACGAAAGCGUAGGGAGCAAACGGGAUUAGAUACCCUAGUAGUC